CCCAUCUCAAGGUCGUACCUGGAGAGUUUUCAGUACUCUAUCAGUCUUGGCGUCAAGAGGGAGAGUCAAGCAGAGGCCUACUCAUUCCAUUCCUAGCUUGGCCAGUGGCUAGCGAGUGGGAGGCAGUCUGUUACAAGU